AACCCCAAGGGCCUGGAACUUGACAGCUGGUAGACAUACAACAAAUACUUCCUGACUGAUGCUGGCUAUCAUCCCACGACUGCACUGUUCAUGAAGAUCAACCAACUCCUCAUGCUCUACUCCUUGACCACUGAGAGUCCUCGGGUUUCUUUUUCAAGAAAAUACUGAGCAGCCGGUGAAAAAUUCUACUUACCGAGUGAUUACAUUUUCUUGAAAACUUAUUCUGGCUAUGACUCAGCCUCGGGAGCUUGGUGGGUGUGAAUAUACCCUGGCUCCAGGUUCAAAGAAGCUCCACGCAGCUCUGCAGGUGGGUCCAACCCAGACACAUGGCUCUCAGUCUGCAAACAUCAUGUCUUCACUGCACAGCCUGCCCUCAUCGAGAAGGGUGUCUCCAGUCUUUCCAAGAACAUGACACAUGACAAAGUUAGGACAGGACCGUAGACUCUCCAAGCUCCCUAUUGUACAUGACAUGGUUUAAAGAAUCAGAGUUUUCCUGAAAGAGGCUGCACACUUCUAUUCCUGGAGACCAGGAAGGAUGUGGAAAAUGAUCACCUAAAACGUCUCCUGUGAAUGUAAGACCGUCAGCGGGAGAGACUGAGAUCACCAGGUGGGACAGAAAGAAAGGUGGAGAAAAAACCCCUCCGGAAGUAGAAGUGCAGGAAAGGUGUCAAAAUGAUAGUUGAGAACCCACGUAAGGGUGGCAAAUGUGUCCCGGUCCUCUUCGUGGCUCCAGAAUCUAGCAGAGAGUGAGGCACUAAGAGGGAAGGAAUCAGUAAAUGUCGGUGGAGUGGAGUGGAACAUUUACUCUUCUCCUUUAUUUGCUAUUUAGCACAUCUCAGUUCAGGUCUGCAAAAAUCCAGAGCUGCCUGGAUCUGCAUAGAUGUUUCCUGAAGCAUGUCAUUUCCUUUGGGGCGUGGCUGAACAAUCGGUCGUUGAAACAUUUAAAAAUCACGAAUUCAGAUUUGGUACAGAAGUUGCUGUGGAGGACUCAGAAAUUCCAGAAUGUCCUGGAACAUUCCAAUAGACCAGCAUUCAACAAAGCUUUAACUGGUAACUUCUAUACCUGUACUUGAGACAGAUGGAUGAACUUGACCCAUUCGGCCAGCUUCCAUGUUAUUUUUGGUGAAUCUGGCUUCUUCCCUUCCCUUAGUGGCUCAAUUGAUGACCUCAGGCAAACUUUGUCUUCAAAGAGUCAAAUAGUAAAUAUUUUUGGUCUUUUGGGCCAUACAGUUUCUACUCAGCUCUACCACUUCAGUGCAAAAGCAGCCUUAGAUGAUGUGUAAACGAAUGAACGAUGCUUGUGUUCCAAUAAAACUUUAUGGGCGCUGAAUCA
rnacentral:lncRNA from 1 species